UGAGUGAUGAAGGCCCUAGGGUUGUAAAGCUCUUUCGACGGGGACGAUAAUGACGGUACCCGUAGAAGAAGCCCCGGCUAACUUCGUGCCAGCAGCCGCGGUAAUACGUAGGGGGCGAGCGUUGUCCGGAAUUAUUGGGCGUAAAGCGCGCGUAGGCGGCCGGUUAAGUCCUGUGUGAAAGACCACGGCUCAACCGUGGGGGUGCACGGGAAACUGGCCGGCUUGAGUGCAGGAGAGGGGAGCGGAAUUCCCGGUGUAGCGGUGGAAUGCGUAGAGAUCGGGAGGAACACCAGUGGCGAAGGCGGCUCCCUGGCCUGUAACUGACGCUGAGGCGCGAAAGCGUGGGGAGCGAACAGGAUUAGAUACCCUGGUAGUCCACGCCGUAAACGA
rnacentral:rRNA from 1 species